CAGUAGGGAAUAUUGGUCAAUGGAUGCAAGUCUGAACCAGCCAUGCCGCGUGCAGGAAGAAGGCCUUCUGGGUUGUAAACUGCUUUUGCCAGGGGAUAAAAUGAGCGUGCGCGCUUAAUUGAAGGUACCUGGUGAAUAAGCCACGGCUAACUACGUGCCAGCAGCCGCGGUAAUACGUAGGUGGCAAGCGUUGUCCGGAUUUAUUGGGUUUAAAGGGUGCGUAGGCGGCCCUGUAAGUCAGUGCUGAAAUAUCCCGGCUUAACCGGGAGGGUGGCAUUGAUACUGCAGGGCUUGAGUGAAGUCGAGGUAGGCGGAAUUGACGGUGUAGCGGUGAAAUGCUUAGAUAUCGUCAAGAACACCGAUAGUGAAGACAGCUUACUAGGCUUAUACUGACGCUGAGGCACGAAAGUGUGGGGAUCAAACAGGAUUAGA
rnacentral:rRNA from 1 species